AUUCACAUCCUUAUUGCUGAGCUCCACACCCAUAUGGUCACUUAAUUACUGAACACUUCAGUCCACAAGGAUAACAACCAACAUUUUCAGAGCACUUGGCAAUUUACAAAAUACAUCUGCCUGAAGGUACAGCACUACCAGCCUCAUUUUACGUGUGUGAAAACUGAAGCACAGAAGAAUUGGGUGACUUGUCAGACGCUGCAUAGGUGGUCAGGUACAGAGCCUGGGCCUAGCCUUUAGUCUUCUCUCUCCAGAUCCCCUGCUUUUACCUCAGUGACCAGUCCCUCUCUGACCUUACAGCAUUAUGGUCUUCAUCCCUCCAUCAACCUUAAUCACAUACUGCAUGUGACCAGCAGGAAGAGGGGUCUUGAGAAUAGGAGGGGAGAUCAAAGAAGACAUCGUCGUCUAUUUGACAUCAAAACUGGCCAGUAAGUGCACAAGAAAUGAGCUGGGUUACCUGGAACCUAACCUUGGGAAGAUGAUCUGUCAAUGGAGGUAAGCUGGGCAGGGCCUUGGGAAUGAAAGGGAACCAUCAGUGGUAUUAGAGCUGGGGCCUACAAUAAGGACCACCACUGCAAGGGGUUGAGGUAGGGUUCUGGGUGCUAAGACACUCCUCUUGGAUAGUUUGCCAGGUUCCUUGGUUAUAGAGGAGCUACGUUCUGUCCCUCAGGUCACGCGGCUGAACAGAAGGCCUCCCAGAGUGGACCCAGCACUACCCGUUGGGUUCUGUGUUCACCUAACAUUCUUCUCAUCAAUGGCUUGAUCUGGUUGUAGAGGGAGUACCCUGGGUAGUUGUCUGGCUCAA
rnacentral:lncRNA from 10 species